CAUGUCACUUCAAAUUACUUUCCCAGAAGUUCAUUAAAGUAGAUUACAAGUUGCAUAAUGUUUCAAACCUAGUGCUAGUUUCUUCUUCACGUGACAAGUAUUGAUCCAUUUACAAUGCAAGUAUGAUCACUCUAAUGACCAACUUCAUAUGCAUGCCAAAAUCAUGUUAACAUUUCAACCUAAUACAUACAUCCUUAAGUCCUACAAGCAUAAGAAGUGAACCAUUGCAGUAGCAUUUCCAGCCAUGAAUGCAUAUAGAAGACCAUUCAACAAAUACAUGUAGUAGAAAAUUCCACGGCACUACAUCAUACCAUUUCAAGUUGAAUCAAAUAGGUUCAAUUGGCAUCAACAACAAGCAAUUAUGAAAGUCGUUGACUGCAGUACCAACACUUCACACUAACAUUAACAUUCAAGUUUCACUAAACUGACUAACAUCAGUAACAUAAGCAAAAAAAAAUAUCAUUACUCUACACUAAUUGCAUUAAGCCACUAACCGAAAAUGUUUUUAAAUUUCCAUACCUAACUGAUGUUCUAACCCUAACUAACUAACUAACCUAAUAAUUGUAAUAACAACUAACCCUAACUAAUAAUUUAACAUAUUUUUGAACAACUAAAUUUCACCAAUUUCGAAACUAACAGAAGUUUAAUCCCUAAUUAACUUUUAACAGAAAUUCUUCUAACUAACAAUUAACUUGCACAAAUGUCAAACUAACAAUUUAACAAACAUUUCAUAAAUUUCCUUAGCUAACAGAUUGAGUUAACUUCAACUGAAUUUCAACAUCAACAACUUAACAGAGUUAAGCUCUGUUAAUAUUGAAUUGCUAUAAAAUCCAUCUUCAAUGAUCAGUUUUUUGGGUCACCUAGUAAUCACUCAAUCAUUCCCUGAAAUCACUCUCUCAUCCUCACUGCAUUUCUCACUACUCUCUCAUCACUCACAGUCACACAAAAACAAUCAUCAACAACGUUCACAAAGAAAUCUAAACACAACACAGCAUAAAGCAUUCCAUUUCCUAAGGACUAAAGAAUUUGAAGAAGAAGAAGACGCUGGAGUAGGAUUAAAGGUUGAAGCAUUUACCUUAUUCGAAGCACACCGUUCUCUCUGCACUUCAACCUCCGAUCUGCUCCGGGUAGGAAUUAGAGGAAACAAAGGGAAGAUUUAAGUAGAGGAGAGUGAGGCGAGCAGUUUGGUGUGAAGAUUUCUUUUUUGUUUGGCCCUCCUCCGCCGCCGGAGGAGAUUUCUGGCGCGACAUUGGAUUUUCGUCCAAGGUCUCAAGAAUAAUGGUUGGUGAUCUGAACGCGUGAAAGGUCCCCUUCUCUCAUGUAUUUUUGUUUUGGGCUUGGUCAAUCCAUAACCCAUUGCAUUCUACUUCUUUGCAUCAUGUCCAAAAAAUAACAUACCCCUCAUUCUGAUUGAACUUGGAAUGCAUAUGCCUUAUGUCUGGGCCCAUACAAGAUACUUUGUUGCACCCUGUUCUCAAUCAAUACACCCAGGUUGAUGGUGAACCACUCCAUUGGGCCUCAGCUGUCCGUGGCACAUGGUUAGUGCUUCCUGCACCCUUGUCAAAGGGGCCUUAUCCCACUUUGUCAGAUGUAGGGUAAAUGGGCUGAUCUUGAAGGGCUUGCGCCAUGAUCCUUUCUGCACCCUACUUUGGUGCACACCCCUAGCCCUUUUUUAUUUUUUCUUGCUAUUUUCUUGAUAUUUCCUUUUGUCAUUUUAAUUCCAUUGUUUUUUUAAAUUUCUUUAAUUGUUAAUACAUUUUCCCAUGGAAAUUAGGAAUAAAAAAGACAUGGUGAUUCAUUUAAUCCUUGAUUCAUGUUUAGAAAACAAUAAAGAUGCAUGUUUAGCAAUUAGAAUAUAAUUAGACUUUAAUUGAUUUUAAUCACUUUGAAAAUACUUUGAAUAAAAUGGUUAACAUUAGAAAUUAAUUAGGUUUUGAUCAUUGAUCCACUUCUAGAAACAUUGAUUCGUCAUGUUAGAAUUUAAAUACUACUUAUAUGUUAAUUUUCAAUUAAGUUUGUUGUUAACAUGAAAUAUGGUACACAAUAGAUUUUAAUCCUUUUUUGAUUGAAAAUACUCUGACCAUGAUGAUUCUAUUUAGACUUUUGCUUCAUUUGAUGCAUGAUUUUAGACUUAGUUUCUAACUAAAAUCCAUUAAAAUUGACUUUAUUUUUGCAUCCACUCUUGACUAUACUUUGAUGCAUGAAUCUUAAUCAUGAAUAUGCUUGACCUUAUCAUUUCCACUUGAUUGAUUUUUGGACAUGGUACUAUUAUAUACUUGUACGAAUCUUUUCCUGCUUCUUGUAUGGUUUAUGAUGAUUCAUCCCCCAUUGUGGGUAAAAUGUACCUCAUUCCCAUUCCCAUGUAAUAACAUAUCACUUUCCUUUUCUUUA